AAAUUGAAGAGUUUGAUCAUGGCUCAGAUUGAACGCUGGCGGCAGGCCUAACACAUGCAAGUCGAACGGUAACAGAAAGCAGCUUGCUGCUUUGCUGACGAGUGGCGGACGGGUGAGUAAUGUCUGGGAAACUGCCUGAUGGAGGGGGAUAACUACUGGAAACGGUAGCUAAUACCGCAUAAUGUCGCAAGACCAAAGAGGGGGACCUUCGGGCCUCUUGCCAUCGGAUGUGCCCAGAUGGGAUUAGCUAGUAGGUGGGGUAA
rnacentral:rRNA from 1 species